rnacentral:sRNA from 1 species
UUUUUCUAAGAGUUAAAAAAUGCUUGUAAAGACUUUAUAAGAGUUUUAAAAAGAUUUACAAAGGUUUAAAAUCCUUGUAAAUCCUUUUAAAACUCUUUAAAAACUCUUGUAAAUCAUGUUUUACCCUUUUAUAAGCUUUGAAAAUCCUUGUAAAUCAUUCGAUACCACUUACUUAUCUUUUAAAAACGAUUGUAAACCAUGCAAACCUUUUUUAAAAUCCCUUGUAAAUCAUUCUUUAACACUUACUUAUGCUUUAAAAACGAUUGUAAAUCAUGUUAACCCCUUUUAAAAUCCCUUGUAAAUCAUUCUAUGCUACUUACUUAUGCUUUAAAAACGAUUGUAAAUCAUGUUUUACCUUUUUAUAAGCUUUUAAAAUCCAUUGUAAAUCAUUCCAAUACCACUUACUUAUACUUAAAAAACAUUGUAAACCAUGCUAACCCUUUUUAAAAAUCUUUGUAAAUCAUUCUAUGCCACUUACUUAUGGUUUAAAAACGAUUGUAAAUCAUGUUUUACCCUUUUAUAAGCUUUUAAAAUCCCUUGUAAAUCAUUCAAUGCCACUUACUUAUGCUAAAAAACGAUUGUAAACCAUGCUAACCCUUUUUAAAUUCCUUGUAAAUCAUUCUAUGCCACUUACUUAUGUUUUAAAACGAUUGUAAAUCAUGUUUUACCUUUUUAUAAGCUUUUAAAAUCCCUUAUAAAUCAUUCAAUGCCACUUACUUAUGCUUAAAAAACGAUUGUAAAUCUUGUAAAACUAUUGUAAAAAGUUUUAAAAUGAUUUACAAAUGUUUAAAAAGGGGUUUUAAAGUAUUUACCUAUGUUUUUAAAGACUUUAUAAAGAUUUUAAGAGGUUUUAAAAUGAUUUACAAGGGUUUUUACCAACUACUAAAGCUUUUAAAAAACUUUACAAGGUUUUUUAAAAGAGUUUUUAAAAAAUUUACAAGGAUUUUUAAAAGCAUUUUUGUGUCUAGGAAAAAAAAUUUACGAAAAAUAAUUUUGGUGGGAAACUUUUUUUUUGGCGGGGAAAAAAAUUUGGCGGAAAUUUUUUUUUGGCGCCAAAAAUUUGGCGGGAAACUUUCACUUUCCAAUUACAUGUUCUUAUUAGAUGAGGGUAAUUUGGUCAUUUUGUUAAAGGGAAAGGAUAUUUUUAAAAAUGAACAAUAUAAAAGGGUAUUGUUGCAAAAGGGUAGUAAAAAAGUGUAGUUUUGCAAAUCUCCCUAAACUAUUUGAGGUUAUUUUUUAUAUUUAUAUUCGUUCAGUUACAAUCAUAUUUUUUUGGUUUAUAGUUGUGUCUUUAUAGUAGUAUCUACUCAUUUAAGUUACGCUUUUUCAUUAUAUUUUAUUACAUAUUCUCGUCACAAGUUUUUGUAUGAAUACAUGUUUAUUUAAAUGUUCGUGACUUUUCAACUCUAUAUAUUUUUCUUUUUUUCUAAGUAGUUCCCAAAUUUUGUUUUUUCACACAAAUUAUUUGUUUCAUGAUAAAUCCCAAAAAAAUAAUCUCUAAAAUGGCUCAAAAUUCUUUUCUUGCUAAACUAUUUCUAAACAUAGGUGAUUUUUUUUGUCAUCAAACAUGA